CGAAGAAUGUGAAUGUGAAUGUGUGUGGCAAAGGGAGAAACUUAAAUUUAUACGAUGAGUAUGAAAAUAAUAAUCGUAGGCCUUUGCAUUUGAGAAUUGAUAUCUCCAGGCGGAUGUAUCGAUUUGUGGGAGACAACGGGCAAAUGUUUGUCAGACUGAUCUCAAAUCUGGUGGGAUCACAGGCACCGUUGCAUUAUCAUACUUGGCAUCGUGUUCCUACCAAGUACAAAGAUGAUUUAUAUCUAGAGCUAGAAACUUAUUUUGAUCUUAAUAGGUAUCGGGGCACAGACUUGUGGGAACCCCUUCGAGCGGGUAUCCAAGCAGAUAUUCAAAGAGCUUAUCGAGAGCGCAAGUAUCAAGUAAAAAACAUUUUGAUAGAGUUGGUGCAUAUCAUAAUGUGGAAAUGUGAAGAAAAUGUCCACCGACUGAUCGGACCGCCAAGCUUGGAACAAUAUGAUUGAUUUGUUGUUUUUGACUGAUGAAUAGAAAUGCACGUCGGUCGAAAAUAAAGUUACUAGGUCGAAACUUCCGCACAUAAGUGCUCACGGAUGUAGAUGUUAUGCUCAACGACGUUAUUUAGAGCAGCAUAUUGAGAGUUUAAGACAAAUGCGCUACAAAGAAGGUUCGGGUUGGUGUACAAUUCGAGCACAAGAAGAUUGAGAGAAAAUUCAAGAGGAAUACGAGAAAAUGCAAAACGAGGUUGGAGAAGGCGGAGAAGUAAACAAGGAAGAAUGUUUAGAACGUGCCCUUGGGACGAGACGCGGGCAUGCUCGCGGGGUGGGUAGGAGACCAACCGUCAACUUCAGUUUAAUUCCAAAUAAACGGCCUUCCACUUCCAAAUCCUAAUCUCAACCCCAAUCUUAAUCCCAAUUUGAUGCACAACAAAUGCAAUAAUAUUUGCAACAAUAUAAUGCAUCGUUGGCGGCAUGUAUUUCGAACUUCCAACCACCACCAUUUCCUAACUUUCUAUUCAAAUAUAACACACAAGCAAGCACCUCUCAACAAUUUGCCGAAAGUAUGGAAGAAGAAGGAGAAGAAGAAGAAGAAGGAUUGAGCAUUUGCUUAUGCUUAUGCAUAUUGUUAGGGCGUUGUAAUGAUCCUUGAGACAAAUAUGGGUAGGUGUGGAAGGUAGUAUGGGCAUGUACUACUGAAAGCACAGGACCCAUACACGUAGCAAGGAAGUCACAACCCCUAUUUGUUAGGAGUUGGUUCCCCGUUAUUAUAUGGAAUGUCUGAUAUCUUCCUGGUAUAUUUUUAGUAUGGUGGUUACGAGGCGAUUUGAGGCCGAAUCCGGGUCGGGAUCAGGAUUUGGGCUAACAUUGUCGGGGACCAUUGGUUAGAUGAGUUGGAUGCCAGGAUUUAGGAGAUCCUGCACAAUGAGGUUGCUGCACUAUUCCUGGUUGAGUUGUCGGAGAUUUUUGGGUCUAUUAAGACCACUAUGGUUGAGUACUUUGAUGAGCGCUAUGUAGCCAUUGCUGAGACGGAUGCCACUGUAGCCUUCGCAGCCGUAGCAACUGCAGGUAGUGAGGCUGGUUGGGCUUUUCAGUAUUAGGACUUCGAUAACACAAAGCCCCUGACUUUCAAUGGAGUACAUGACCUGAUCAUAGCCAUUAGGUGGUUAUAUGACGUGGAGGGAUGUUUUUUCACGUGUUCAUGCCCUGCUGACCAGAGGGUUAGGUGCGCUCUGAACCUAUUGAGGUCCGAAGCGAAGGAUUGGUGGAGACU